rnacentral:rRNA from 1 species
AAUAGCAGCAAUCCCUAGACCGUGGCUCAGUUCAGAUCGUAGGCUGCAACUCGCCUACGUGAAGGCGGAAUCGCUAGUAAUCGCAGGUCAGCAUACUGCGGUGAAUACGUUCCCGGGCCUUGUACACACCGCCCGUCACACCAUGGAAGUUGGCCACGCCCGAAGCCGUUACUCCAACCCUUGUGGAGGAGGACGUCGAAGGUGGGGCUGAUGACUGGGGUGAAGUCGUAACAAGGUAUCCGUACCGGAAGGUGCGGAUGGAUCACCUCCUAA